rnacentral:rRNA from 1 species
GCAAGUCGAGGGGUAGAGGCCUUCGGGCCUUGAGACCGGCGCACGGGUGCGUAACGCGUAUGCAAUCUGCCUUCCACAGAGGGAUAGCCCAGAGAAAUUUGGAUUAAUACCUCAUAGCAUCAUGACCCGGCAUCGGGAUAUGAUUAAAGUCACAACGGUGGAAGAUGAGCAUGCGUCCCAUUAGCUAGUUGGUAAGGUAACGGCUUACCAAGGCUACGAUGGGUAGGGGUCCUGAGAGGGAGAUCCCCCACACUGGUACUGAGACACGGACCAGACUCCUACGGGAGGCAGCAGUGAGGAAUAUUGGUCAAUGGGCGCAAGCCUGAACCAGCCAUGCCGCGUGCAGGAUGACGGUCCUAUGGAUUGUAAACUGCUUUUGUACGGGAAGAAACCCUCCUACGUGUAGGAGCUUGACGGUACCGUAAGAAUAAGGAUCGGCUAACUCCGUGCCAGCAGCCGCGGUAAUACGGAGGAUCCAAGCGUUAUCCGGAAUCAUUGGGUUUAAAGGGUCUGUAGGCGGUCUUGUAAGUCAGUGGUGAAAGCCCAUCGCUCAACGGUGGAACGGCCAUUGAUACUGCUGGACUUGAAUUAUUGGGAAGCAACUAGAAUAUGUAGUGUAGCGGUGAAAUGCUUAGAAGAUUACAUGGAAUACCAAUUGCGAAGGCAGGUUGCUACCAAUGGAUUGACGCUGAUGGACGAAAGCGUGGGUAGCGAACAGGAUUAGAUACCCUGGUAGUCCACGCCGUAAACGAUGGAUACUAGCUGUUGGGCGCAAGUUCAGUGGCUAAGCGAAAGUGAUAAGUAUCCCACCUGGGGAGUACGAACGCAAGUUUGAAACUCAAAGGAAUUG